GAGUAGGAAUGACGCGUUAAGUACCGGCGGAUGGGAGGUUGCCGCCGGGCGAAGGAGCCCCCGCUCCGCGGUGUCAUCCCGCAUCCGCUA
rnacentral:ncRNA from 1 species